UCCUGACACCUAUUGCGAGCCCACGACGAACAAGCAAGGAUCGCGGUUCUCACAAAGUAAGCCAGCCCCAUCAGUCGAGAUCACGAACAAACCCACAGAGAUCGAGCUAGGAAAAACCAAAACGAAACUCGACGGAGACGGAGACGGGAAGGGGAAGAGGGGUCCGGUUUUGCGAGCUGGGCGAUCCCCCCCGCCGUGGAGGUGGGCGCGGCUCGGGGCGCCACGCGCGCAUCUGCCGGGCGGGUGGUGAGGGCUGCGCGCGUCGCCGUCGUGGGAAGAGGAGGAGGAAGAGUAGAAAUGGGGCUGCCUCGCCCGGUGCCCGUGACCUGCUCGACGGAAUGCGGCAGCGGCCAACGCCGUGCGGCGACGUGAGAAAGAGUCCAGAGCUGGACAUCAUGCAAAGUUCUGACCAGGGAAAAUGAUCAAAGAUGUGCCAAGCAAGCAACGAGAUCUAGGCGCGUGUAUGGGUUGGCGCGGCGUGAAGAAGACGAACGGACCUUGGAGGUUGCUGUCGAGCCAUUUGGACUGCCUGGUGCGGAUGUGGCUCGCCCACCACCACGAGUAGGCGUUGCUCGCCGCCCGCUGCAGCAUCCCGCCUCUCCUCCGCCGCGCUUCUCCAGCCGCCGGACUCGAACUGGAAGGUCAGCAAUGCACAUUGCCUGCAUUUGCCAUGGGGACGUAUGUCAUCUUUGGAAGAAGAUGAACGAGACGGCGGCGGCGGAGAGGAAGAAGAA